rnacentral:rRNA from 1 species
UCAAUUAUUUAUAGCCUCUGGCUAUAGGAAAUUGUUAGUGGCAGACGGGUGAGUAAUGCGUAGGAAUCUACCUAGUAGUACGGAAUAGCCAUUAGAAAUGGUGGGUAAUACUGUAUAAUCCCCGAGGGGGAAAGAUUUAUCGCUAUUAGAUGAGCCUACGUUAGAUUAGCUAGUUGGUGAGGUAAUGGCUUACCAAGGCUAUGAUCUAUAGCUGGUCUGAGAGGACGAUCAGCCACACUGGAACUGAGAUACGGUCCAGACUCCUACGGGAGGCAGCAGUGGGGAAUAUUGGACAAUGGGCGAAAGCCUGAUCCAGCUAUGCCGCGUGAGUGAAGAAGGCCUUCGGGUUGUAAA